UACCUGGACAUUGGCUAGCAUUAUCUUAAUAGCAACUGUUUUCUGUGAAAAUGGAGGGUGUUCCGAACCUCCACCACCUCCAGGACCCCCUGGACCUCCAGCACCUCCAGGACCCCCGGGACCCCCAGGACCUAUAGGACCUCCAGGACCUCCCGGACCUGCUGGACUUUCCGGACUUCCAGGACCUCGGGGUAGAUCAGGAGGUCCUGGACCUGACUUCCAAUGUCCGUGCAACACAAAGCCAGCCUUCACCGCUAAGCUCAAGGACAAGCUGCCUUCACCUACCACGCCUGUCGGUUUCACAGAGGUGUUGUACAACAGUGGGGAAGACCUGCAGGGAGAUAUGGGAGUCUUCACCUGCUCGGUAGCUGGCCUCUACCAUUUCCACUUUGAUGUAGAGCUCCAACACUGUACGAUGACGGUUUGGCUGGUGAAGAAUCAGGCUCACAUCCUGGAAAAGCAUCAGGCCUCUGCAGAGGAGUACAGGGACGUGUCAGGCAGAUUGGUCCUCCCGCUGAGCCAAGGGGACAAGGUGUGGCUGGAAGCACAAGUAGAACCUGAGCAAUCAGAACAAGCCUCUGUGACCAUCUAUUUCUCCGGUUUCCUGGCAUAGGUUUGGCCUCUUUGAAACAGAGACUAGCCCCUGGAUGUUUCUGUGGCCUUGAAGGAAGGAAUGAACGAAAGAGCAAAUAAAACAUCCAACAAGUAACGCUA